rnacentral:rRNA from 1 species
AUUGAACGCUGGCGGCAUGCCUUACACAUGCAAGUCGAACGAGACCUUCGGGUCUAGUGGCGCACGGGUGCGUAACGCGUGGGAAUCUACCCUUGGGUUCGGAAUAACUCAGAGAAAUUUGAGCUAAUACCGGAUGAUGUCGAAAGACCAAAGAUUUAUCGCCCAAGGAUGAGCCCGCGUAGGAUUAGCUAGUUGGUGAGGUAAAGGCUCACCAAGGCGACGAUCCUUAGCUGGUCUGAGAGGAUGAUCAGCCACACUGGGACUGAGACACGGCCCAGACUCCUACGGGAGGCAGCAGUGGGGAAUAUUGGACAAUGGGCGAAAGCCUGAUCCAGCAAUGCCGCGUGAGUGAUGAAGGCCUUAGGGUUGUAAAGCUCUUUUACCCGGGAUGAUAAUGACAGUACCGGGAGAAUAAGCCCCGGCUAACUCCGUG